CCCCUCUCAGGAUAAUACCUGGAGAGUUUCCAGUACUCUACCAGGCUCGGCUAUGGGAGGGAGAGUCAAGCAGAGGCAUACCCAUUCCAUUCCUGGCUUGGCCAGUGCCUAACGAGUGGAAGGUAAUCUGCUACAAGU
rnacentral:snoRNA from 1 species